rnacentral:lncRNA from 1 species
AUGACAGGAGUUAGCGUCUCUUUCUACUCCACCACAGCAGCUUCCUGUCCAGGGCAAGAAACUGUCCUGAUUGUCCCUUUGGGCCAGGGAUUAAAGGUCCGCAGGCCAGCAUGCCCUGCCCUCGGACACUGCCAUCAGUUCUAUAAAUAUUUACCAAGCACCUCAAGUAACCUCCCUGGGCCAUUUCCUCAUCUGCCUGAUGGGGCAGGCACAUCUGCCCGACUGAAUUCACCCAUUCAUUCCUCUACGCGCUCGUUCGUUCUGCGGGAGGCUCCCAUGUGCCCCUGGGGUCUGCGGAGACGGCAGAACCAAGACUUCUGCUCUGAGUCCUGGCUCCGCUGUGGGCUUCCUGCACUGCCCAGAGCUCAGCCUUCCUAUGUGUACAGUGACCUUCCUGGAAGGUGCCUUCUAGCCGCUCCCAUCUGGGGGUGCUGCAAGGUCCCAGGGGAGACCGCUGACCAGCAGGGUGACCAGCCUGGCUGGGCCCAGAGGACCAGGAGUUCCUGCUCUGGAAAUGUAACACGUCCACGUGUAUCCCACCAGCAGGGCCUCUUUCUGUCCACCUGGAAGGCACCGUGUGGCCACCGCAGGGCUCAGAGAACAGGGAGCUGUGGGACCUUGGAGCUAAGUGAGCUUUAUCUCAUAAUCCCCGGGGCAAGCUUGCCAGUUUGGUUGAUGAGGAUAGAGCUCCAGUGCAGGAAGAUGAGAAGUGGAUAGUGGUGACGGCUGCACUGCAAGAUGAACACACGGGAAGUCGCUGAGAUGCUCCCUUACAUGUGGAUAAAGGGAAGCCGGACACAGUGGUGCACAUGUAAUCUCAGCGCUUGGGAGGCAGAGGCAGGAAGACUGGAAGUUCAAGGCCUGGGGUACAGAGGGAGUUCAAGGCCAGCCUGGGUUACACAGCAAGACCUUGUCUGAAAAUACAGCAGCAGCAACAACAAUAACACACACACACACACACACACACACACACACACACACAGGGAUAAAAUGGUAAAUGCAAUGCUGUGUGUAUGUUUACCACAAUAAAAAAAACCUUGAAAAAUACGUAUUGAACCCCAGUUUUGUUUUGGGUACUGUGCUAAAUGCUGUGAGUACAGCAACGAACAAAACAAAGACCUCUUCCUUUGUGGAGCUGACUUUCUAGAACAGUACUGUCCGAGAGAACUUUCUAGAACUCCGCGGUGGCGUGUGGAUGGACAGAUGGACGUGUGCCCUCCCUAUCUGCUUGGCACAGUGGGGCGGCCGCUAGCCACGUGUGCCAUGAAGGGCUUGAGCAGUAGCUGGUGUAAAUGAGGAACAGGCUUUCAUUUUAUGUCAUUUUAAUGCGUUUAAACGGAGUGGCCGCAGGUGGACACCGGACACCGUGGUUCUGGAAGGCCAGCUGCUCAGGAGUGGCGGAGCCGACCUUUGAGCCCCAGCUCGCCUGACGCAGGUGCAUUUUCAAGCUUCCAGGCGCUGUGUUUCAGCAGCCGGAGCCACUUGCCUCUGCGUCUCUGGGGACACAGGGUACAAGGGCAGAUCUCCAGGCUCCACUUUUUAUCAGGCUCCUGAGGUGACUCGGACAAGGUCAAGUUUAAGACCCCCUGGGCCCUGCCCUAUAUGCUCAGCACUGAAGCUUGGCCAGGUCGCUAUCAAGGAUGGGAUCCUGGGUCCGAGCCGGGCCUGUCUGGGGGAGCUGCCCCCCAGGCGUCCCCACCCCAGCCAGCCCAACCGGGAAGAGAAGCA